UUUUUUUUAAGUGAGUGUGAUGAAUGAUUUUGUGUGCUUUCAAACUUUCUAUUGGACAAAUCAGCAUAUUACCAUAUCCGGUGACACAAUUCAUUCACAAAGCCGCUAGGUUCGACAAUGGCUUCAUUCCAUUUUCUUCUUCUUGCAAUCCAAACACAUCCGCCGCAUCCACUUCUCUCAACAAGUUUCAGAAAUCGCAUUAUUUUCAUUCUCUUUUCUCUCUAUUCCUCACUUCACUUCGCUACCUUCUUGCUUCUCCAAGGUUCGGAUAAUGGCGGCAAAUAGUGAUCCAACUAACAAUGCGGUGUCCCAAAACCGUGAGAUUGGAGAGCUUCCCAAGGAAGUUAAUCCGAAAAUUGGAUACAAUAGUGGUAAGCAUUGGUCAGAUGAUGAAAUCAAUUUGCUCAAGUCCUUCAUAGAUUCAAAAAGUUGGGAAGACAUCAAUUGGAAAGACAUCAGGGAUGAAGAAAAAUUGUUUGUCGGGAUUUGAAAGCGAUUCGGGACAAGGCAAGGAAACUUUUUAAAAAGAAAAUACAAGAUCCGAAAAUUAGAUACAAUACUGGUAAGCCAUGGUCACAUGAUGAAAACAAUGCCCUCAAGUCCCUCUUAGAUGCAAAAAGUUGGAAAGACAUCAAUUGGGAAGAGAUAAGGGAUGAAGAAAAACUGUUUGGUCGGGAUUUGAAUGCAAUUCAGGACAAGGCCAGGAAAUUUUUUAAAAGUAAAGGGAAAAAGGCGAUGAAGAUAGCAGAGAACUGUGAACUUCCUUGGAAUGUACUUGAUAUCAUUUCCAAAACACUAGAUUUUGACGAUCUCUUUCGGUUUUCCGGUGUGUGCAAGAAUUGGAGGGCUUUUUAUUGGAGAAAUUUACUGGCAUCGGAAGAACCGUUCUUCAAGUUUCAUAUAAUCAUAAGGAGUCAAAUUCCUUUAUUAGCUUCCCCAACCAAAAGAUUUAUUGCUUGAAGAUGAUGGAGGGACUUCCUCCGCUCUAUCUAUGUUACGACUUCUAGCGGAUAUUUUAUCAUGGCGGGGUAUAAUAAUUCAUUUAUACUAAUCAAUCCGUUUACAAGAAUAAAGAAGGUAAUCAAUGUAUCUACCUUUGAAGUUAAGUAUAAUAUUUUUGCUUAUCAUGCCUUACUUGCUUUUGGCAAAUACUCUGGUGAAUUUGUCUCGUUGGUUUUAUGCAAAAGUUCUAGGAGUUUGCGUGUCUAUCAAUCUCAAAAUUGUGGUUGGGUUACUUAUUCGAUAGUGGAAAAACCAGGGAGGGUUGUUGACUUUAUGGUUUUACAUAAUAUAAUAUAUGUUGUCACUGACAAGGCCAACAUAGGGGUACUUAGCUUGAAUUCUGCAGAUAUUAAAUUUCUAAAACUGAAGAGUGUUCCCAACGUCCGAUACCUUAGAUUGGUCAACUGUGAUGAGCAACUUUUGGUGGUUGAUUCAUCGUUGAAGGAAACAAGGAAUGUAUACAAGAUAGACUUCUCAACCAUGAAUUAUGUCAAACUGGAAAGUUUGGGCGACAUUUCAUUAUUUCAUGCUGCUAACAGAAACUAUUAUGCAUUAAGCAACCCAAAUAGGUGGGGAUAUGAAAGCAACUCUGUGCAUGUCAUCAAUCGUCUGUAUACAUAAUGCAGUGUGUAUUCAGGCGAUGAUAAAAAAAUUACAAAAAUGUAUCACGUUUCCAGCUCCUCCUUAUGGAACAGAUUCUCACAUGUUGGAUUGGUGUUUUAGACAUCUACAAUAUGAGGUAGAUUAUUCUCUAGUUGAGUAACUUGCAUGUUGUACACCGUGUUUUGUGUUAAUUAGGAAAAACUUGCAAUGUUUUGUAGUUUCAUUAAGGAAGUAUUGAGAUUGAAGAAAGAAUUGAAUUCAGAUGUGUAUCAGAAGUGUAUGUGUUGGCCAUUAGUAGUUUGUUUACUUUUGAUGUUUUUUAUUUUUAUUUUUACCGAUAAAAUAAAUAUCAGAAAAUGCACUGGGGAAAACUUUGAAGCUAUUAGUAGUAGAGGUGGCUCUGGUCCAACAGGUUAUCAACCGUUCACAUUAGAAAUGGAAAGUAAACGCCAUUCUUCUAAUCAUUCUAGGUAAGAAAGAAACUCUGCCUCUAGGAUUUUGAGUUUGGAUUAGGAUCAGUGACGGCAUGAUUUGUUUGUACAUUUAGAUUAUAGAUUGUAUAUUUAUUGAAGCUAGCAUUUUCUA